GACGAACGCUGGCGGCGUGCUUAACACAUGCAAGUCGAACGGAAAGGCCCUGCUUGCAGGGUCCUCGAGUGGCGAACGGGUGAGUAACACGUGGGUGAUCUGCCCUGCACUUCGGGAUAAGCCUGGGAAACUGGGUCUAAUACCGGAUAGGAGCCAUUUUUCGUGUGAUGGUUGGAAAGUUUUUUCGGUGUAGGAUGAGCUCGCGGCCUAUCAGCUUGUUGGUGGGGUAAUGGCCUACCAAGGCGGCGACGGGUAGCCGGCCUGAGAGGGUGGACGGCCACAUUGGGAAUGAGGUACGGCCCAGACGCCUACGGGGGGCAGCAGGGGGGAAGAUUGCACAAGGGGCGCAAGCCUGAUGCAGCGACGCCGCGUGGGGGAUGACGGCCUUCGGGUUGGAAACUCCUUUCGCUAGGGACGAAGCUUUUUGUGACGGUACCGAGAUAAGAAGCACCGGCUAACUACGUG
rnacentral:rRNA from 1 species